GGGAGCGGGAUACGGGGCCGGAACACUGCCUGAGAGGUCCGUAACGAUUCUCACAGUGAACCGGUCUCUUUUCCCGCCCC
rnacentral:pre_miRNA from 10 species